AUUGAACGCUGGCGGCAUGCUUUACACAUGCAAGUCGAACGGUAACAGGGAGCUUGCUCCGCUGACGAGUGGCGAACGGGUGAGUAAUGCGUCGGAACGUGCCGAGUAGUGGGGGAUAACGCAGCGAAAGUUGUGCUAAUACCGCAUACGUACUGAGGUAGAAAGUGGGGGACCUUCGGGCCUCACGCUAUUCGAGCGGCCGACGUCUGAUUAGCUAGUAGGUGAGGUAAAGGCUCACCUAGGCGACGAUCAGUAGCGGGUCUGAGAGAAUGAUCCGCCACACUGGGACUGAGACACGGCCCAGACUCCUACGGGAGGCAGCAGUGGGGAAUUUUGGACAAUGGGCGAAAGCCUGAUCCAGCCAUGCCGCGUGUCUGAAGAAGGCCUUCGGGUUGUAAAGGACUUUUGUCGGGGAGGAAAUCCCCAGCGCUAAUACCGCUGGGGGAUGACAGUACCUGAAGAAUAAGCACCGGCUAACUACGUGCCAGCCGCCGCUGUAAUAC
rnacentral:rRNA from 1 species